CCUACGGGGGGCAGCAGUGGGGAAUAUUGGACAAUGGGGGGAACCCUGAUCCAGCCAUGCCGCGUGUGUGAAGAAGGCCCUCGGGUUGUAAAGCACUUUCAGUGAGGAAGAACGCCUGGUGGUUAAUACCCAUCAGGAAAGACAUCACUCACAGAAGAAGCACCGGCUAACUCCGUGCCAGCAGCCGCGGUAAUACGGAGGGUGCGAGCGUUAAUCGGAAUUACUGGGCGUAAAGCGCGCGUAGGUGGCUUGAUAAGCCGGUUGUGAAAGCCCCGGGCUCAACCUGGGAACGGCAUCCGGAACUGUCAAGCUAGAGUGCAGGAGAGGAAGGUAGAAUUCCCGGGGUAGCGGUGAAAUGCGUAGAGAUCGGGAGGAAUACCAGUGGCGAAGGCGGCCUUAUGGACUGACACUGACACUGAGGUGCGAAAGCGUGGGUAGCAAACAGGAUUAGAUACCCGUGUAGUC
rnacentral:rRNA from 1 species